AUUAUUAUUAUUUAGUAUUAUUAUUAUUAUUUUUAUUGUUAUUAUUAUUCAGAGAGUGAGAAAAGUCUUCAACAUCUUGUGAAACAGUUCAGAGGAAUAGGACUGAGUAUGAAUACAGGGGAAAGAAAGUAUUGAACAAAAAAUAUCUAUAACAAAAAGUUAUUUCUUAUCUUUUGAAAAUAGAUAUGUAAGAAGCUCUUCUUGUUCGUAUACAGUAUCAGAAAUGGUACUUACAAGAACUUGAGGAGGCAUUUCCUUCAAAAUGGAAUAAAACCUAGGGUUCAUGGGAACACUGGUCGCAUUCCUUGUCAUGCUGUUUCUGUGGAAGGCAUUAAAGAUGUGGUAGCAUUUUUGGAGAACUAUGCUGAAGACUACACCAUAUUACUACCUGGGAGGAUACCUGGAGCGAGGGAUUAUGGGAAGGCCAAGCUAUUGCCGUCCAGUGUGUCCCGACACAAGGUUUACCGGCAGUAUGCUGAUGCUGGUAGGGAACAUACUCUCUGUGAAAAAUUAAUUUGUUUAAAGGUCCUACUUGUGCAAAUAGAGUAUCGAAGAGUAAAAGUAAAAGCGAAUUUUCUAUCUCAGGAUUUAAAUAAAGAAGUUGCCUUUUCUGUUAAUGUACAGUGAACAUCUCAUAAUCAAGAAACAGUUUGUUCCAUGGACAUUGCCGUAUUCUUUAAAAGAUUGUGUUAAUGGUUGCUGAUUAUCCUGAAAUGAACGACAGAACUUACAUGGUAGUAAAUUCAUGACAUGUAC
rnacentral:lncRNA from 1 species